rnacentral:rRNA from 1 species
CCUACGGGUGGCAGCAGUGGGGAAUCUUGCGCAAUGGGCGGAAGCCUGACGCAGCGACGCCGCGUGCGGGACGAAGGCCUUCGGGUCGUAAACCGCUUUCAGCAGGGACGAGGCCCUCACGGUGACGGUACUUGAAGAAAAAGCAUCGGCUAACUCCGUGCCAGCAGCCGCGGUAAUACGGAGGAUGCGAGCGUUAUCCGGAUUUAUUGGGUUUAAAGGGUGCGUAGGCGGGCUGUUAAGUCAGCGGUAAAAGCCCGGGGCUCAACCCCGGCGAGCCGUUGAAACUGGCUGUCUUGAGAUGUCGAGAGGUAUGCGGAAUGCGCAGUGUAGCGGUGAAAUGCUUAGAUAUUGCGCAGAACUCCGAUUGCGAAGGCAGCAUACCGGCGGCGAUCUGACGCUGAGGCACGAAAGCGUGGGUAUCGAACAGGAUUAGAUACCCCUGUAGUC